CAGUAGCACGGUAAUACAGAGGGUGCAAGCGUUAAUCGGAAUUACUGGGCGUAAAGCGCGCGUAGGUGGUUUGUUAAGUUGGAUGUGAAAGCCCCGGGCUCAACCUGGGAACUGCAUCCAAAACUGGCAAGCUAGAGUACGGUAGAGGGUGGUGGAAUUUCCUGUGUAGCGGUGAAAUGCGUAGAUAUAGGAAGGAACACCAGUGGCGAAGGCGACCACCUGGACUGAUACUGACACUGAGGUGCGAAAGCGUGGGGAGCAAACAGGAUUAGAUACCCGCGUAGUCCCUGUCUCUUAUACA
rnacentral:rRNA from 1 species